UACGUAGGGGGCAAGCGUUGUCCGGAAUCAUUGGGCGUAAAGCGCGUGUAGGCGGCCAGAAAAGUCCGCUGUGAAAACUCGAGGCUCAACUUCGAGCUGUCGGUGGAAACUUUCUGGCUAGAGUCCGGAAGAGGAGAAUGGAGUUCCUGGUGUAGCGGUGAAAUGCGCAGAUAUCAGGAAGAACACCCGUGGCGAAGGCGGUUCUCUGGGACGGUACUGACGCUGAGACGCGAAAGCGUGGGGAGCGAACAGG
rnacentral:rRNA from 1 species